UACGUAGGGUGCGAGCGUUAAUCGGAAUUACUGGGCGUAAAGCGUGCGCAGGCGGCGCGUUAAGACAGGUGUGAAAGCCCCGAGCUUAACUUGGGAAUUGCGCUUGUGACUGGCGAGCUGGAGUGUGGCAGAGGGAGGUGGAAUUCCACGUGUAGCAGUGAAAUGCGUAGAGAUGUGGAGGAACACCGAUGGCGAAAGGCAGCCUCCUGGGCCAGCACUGACGCUCAUGCACGAAAGCGUGGGGAGCAAACAGG
rnacentral:rRNA from 1 species